AUGGCGGAAGCCGACGCCCAAACCCAGAGCAACGCGCACUCCUCCUCGCCGCCGGCGGAGGCGUCGGGCGAGCCGAUCCGGUCGCCCCAGGUAGGCGCUCCAACUGCUGCUUCUCCGACGUUUCCGCUCAUGUACCCGAUGCUCGUGCCAGGGAUGUUCUCCCAGCAGGGUAUGGAUGAUCAGGCUCAGGGUCCAGGGAUAUACGCCAUACAGGAGAAUCAGUUCAUGGGGGCGAUGGGAGGUUACGCUCCAAAGACAUUCAUACCGCUCGCUUACAAUAUACCAACUGAAAGCGUCGGGGCAUUGGCUGGUGAAGAGCAAGGACAGGAUGCUAGGCAGCAAAAUGGCCCUCAAAGACAAGUUGUUGUGAGGAGGUUUCACUUUGCUUUUCAGCUUGACCUGGCUCUGAUCAUCAAGUUAGCAGCAGUGGUCUUUUUGUUUAGCCAAGAAGGAUCAAAACAAAGGCUGUUUCUUCUCAUAUUGUUUGCGUCCAUGAUUUACCUAUAUCAAACUGGAGCGAUUACACCUUUCUUAAGAUGGCUCCAGCGGGCGGGAGGUGUGGCCGCUCGUCCGCCACAAGCUCCUGCUAACCGUGCUCCUGUGGCUGCCCAGAAUGAUGGCAACGAUCAACCACCUGGUGGAAACCUCGCAGAUCCUGCAAACCCUGACCAAGCCGCGGAGAACCAGGAACCAGGAGCAGCAGCGGGCAACGAGAACCAGCAAGGGGCAGAGGGAGAAGCAAACCGGCGCAGCUGGCUUGGUGGCAUCUUGAAAGAGGUCCAGCUGGUCGUUGUAGGGUUUGUCGCGUCACUUCUUCCUGGUUUUCAGCACAAUGACUAG
rnacentral:rRNA from 1 species